AAAGAUUUAGUUUAUAUAAAACAUUAAUUUGUCAAAUUAAAAUUACUUAAAUAAGUAUUCUUUU
rnacentral:tRNA from 1 species